rnacentral:rRNA from 1 species
UGGGUAACCUGCCUCAAAGAGGGGAAUAGCCUCCCGAAAAGGGAGAUUAAUACCGCAUAAUAUGUUUAGGUCGCAUGACUUUAACAUCAAAGGUAUUUUUUUUUAGAAAUUUCCACUUUGAGAUGGACCCGCGGCGCAUUAGCUAGUUGGUGAGGUAACGGCUCACCAAGGCAACGAUGCGUAGCCGACCUGAGAGGGUGAUCGGCCACAUUGGAACUGAGACACGGUCCAGACUCGUUACGGGAGCAG